rnacentral:rRNA from 1 species
AGAGUUUGAUCAUGGCUCAGAAUCAACGCUGGCGGCGUGCCUCAGACAUGCAAGUCGAACGAGAACCUUCCUUCGGGGAGGGGACAGUGGCGCACGGGUGAGUAACACGUGGGUAAUUUACCUUUGGGUGGGGAACAGCAGCCGGAAACGGCUGCUAAUACCGCAUAAUGCAGCGGCUCGACAUCGAGACAGUUGUUAAAGCGGGGGAUCUUCGGACCUCGCGCCUAAAGAGAAGCCCGCGGCAGAUUAGCUAGUUGGUAGGGUAAUGGCCUACCAAGGCGACGAUCUGUAACCGGCCUGAGAGGGCGGUCGGUCACACUGACACUGACAUACGGGUCAGACUCCUACGGGAGGCAGCAGUCGGGAAUUUUGGGCAAUGGGCGAAAGCCUGACCCAGCAACGCCGCGUGAAGGAUGAAGCUUUUCGGAGUGUAAACUUCAUAAGAAUGGGAAGAAUAAGUUUAGGAUAAUACCCUGAACGAUGACGGUACCAUUUGUAAGCUCCGGCUAACUCCGUGCCAGCAGCCGCGGUAAUACGGGGGGAGCAAGCGUUGUUCGGAUUUACUGGGCGUAAAGGGCGCGUAGGCGGCGCGACAAGUCACUUGUGAAAUCUCUGGGCUCAACCCAGAACGGUCAAGUGAUACUGUCGUGCUAGAGUGCGGAAGGGGCAACUGGAAUUCUUGGUGUAGCGGUGAAAUGCGUAGAUAUCAAGAGGAACACCUGCGGCGAAGGCGGGUUGCUGGGCCGACACUGACGCUGAGGCGCGAAAGCUAGGGGAGCGAACGGGAUUAGAUACCCUAGUAGUCC